UUGGCCUGGUGUAUGUAUGACGGUGGGCCAAACUUCGGCGCCUGGGACGCGUGUCUUCGCCGUGGUGGUGGGUCUGCUCCCAUGCCCUGCUGUUGGCUCUGCUACGGAGAGGCGGAGAGGUCGCGCACACCCCUUUCCUCCUUUAAACAUCUUUCCUUCCUGCUCCUUUUCUCUCUCCCGCUCUCCAUUCUCGCUGUCCAUCAUUCACCUGCUUCGCCACACCACAUUUCACUUCCUCUCUAGCUCGCUGCAUGUGCCUGUUGUUCUUCGCCAUCCGUGUGCGUGCCCGUUGUGAUGGCGUGCCUGCGUGCGGUCGAUGCUGCUGGUUGAGCUGAAAUCCUCUCUGUGCUGUCUCCUGCGCCAACCGGUGCGCCAUUCUGCCGUCUGCAUUGAGGUUGUUCGUCUGCCAUUCCGCCUUCAUUUGCUGUCCUGGUUGUUGUUCUUAAUCCUGGUUUGAAGAGCUGCUCUGUUUCUGCAUCUUCACCUGCGACUUGCUACUGGUGCUGAAGGUUUUCUCUCCUUUUACACCGCAUGCGAUUUCUUUCUGACUCAAGAUAUAUUUAUUUUUCUACAUGCUGUUUUUUUACUGAUUGUUUUGUUGUGCCAGAUUUGUCUGGGGGUCGUGUUAUUUUUCAGUUUUGUGUGACUUUCGUUUCAUGUUUAUAUUUGGUGAUUGCGUGUGAGCAGGAUGUGUGCUCUUAUUUCGACCGUUAUACCUGUUUGGAAGCCGUGGUGGCUCGGUGUGCUUUGCCAGCGCUUUCGUACCUAUGUGAGAUCGCAGAGGAUGGGUUCAUUCUUGCUGGGGUAGAACUGGAACUUCCAGGGGAUGGUUCUGGUCCAGUUCCAUGAAGAGAGUUUUUUUGGAGCUCGGCCUGGUGUGGUUUUGUCCAUGCCUAUGAACAAGCUGCCCUCCAGGCCAUAAGAUUUUUACAGGGUUUAUAUGGGUUUGUGGUGAGAGACUAUAAUUAUGAUUGUAUGAUGGCCUAUAGGAGUUCCCUUCGUUCUUCCAUGACAGUUGCGGUCUCUGCCGUUCGGCAUGUUGAGCGCUUGGAGAGGGAGCUAUUGCGCUUGCGAUAUGCUUCUACGAAUAUAGAGAUUAGCCCAGAUAUUACCCCUCUUCUAGCCCACUUCGAUUGGGCUUUGUUGUGCUCGCAUCUACUUUCCUCUCUUCGUUCUCUUUAGCUUUCUUCUAUUGAAUGUUUAUUUAGGACCAUGUGCCUGCUUUGUACUUGAUAGUUAAUGAUUCCUCUGAUGCAAUAAAGUAGAUAGUUAAUGAUUCCUCGGAUGCAAUAAAGUCUGGACUUUUUAUAUUUAAUGUGGCUGCCCUGAGGGCCUUGCUGUACCUGCACACCAGCAUUGUUGUUGUUGCCUGUGUUGUCCCUUUGGGCCGCGUUGUCUUUUGUGAGCAGGUGAUUCUUCCUGGGCUUUUCAGAGGAUGUUUCUUGCAUUUGCCUUUUUGGGCUUUCUCUGUAUCUUAUCUAUGUUUUCCUAUCUUUUUAUCUUAAAAACACUGUCCUCUUUGCAUGUCUGCAGGAAAAAACUUGUGUGCUUUUUCUUGGGGUUGCUUUUGGCUGCCUUUCCCUUUCAUUGGAGACUAGGAUGAGAUCUACAGGGUUUUGUUUGUUGGGGCUUGCUUCUUGGUUUAGGUCUGUAUCUUCUUCUGUUGUUAGAAAACAGAGUAUGGUUUUCGUAGGUUACAGAGAUUUACAGGGUUUUGUUAGUUGAUGCUUGCUACUUAUGUUCUUUGUUUCAUUCAUCGUGUUACGUUUCUGUUGCAGUAUCUCGCAGUCGUUCUUCAUGUCAUUUGUCUGAAUAUCAUGCCUCCAUGUCGUUCUAUUCGUCUUAAGGCCGAUUCGAACAGCCAUCAGGCACCUCCAUGCCGUGUUGUUCAACAAAAACUAUCUUUCUGUGGACCGCCGUUACCUUACAUAUCCUCUGGGCUACCCAAAAGGAAAUGCAUGAAAUCCUCUUUCGAGUUGGAUUUCUUUUAGUUUACUGGUGUGCCUUCUGCACGCUCUUGCUCUCUCUUCCUAGUUGUGACAUUGCCUCCAUUUUUUUAGAUGAUGGUUUCUUCCCCGUUCUUAGUCCAGAAAUUUCGGCCCGUAAUAGAAAGAGAUGCAGGGUGAUCAUCGAUGGGCUUAGGGGACAAGGGCCUGUCAUUCGGUCACCCUUAGGCACUAAUUGGGCCGGGUUCACGCCCGAGGAGUCUGAGAUGUUAAAAGUUGGGUACCGAAAGAGAUCUUUCUAUGGUGGCCCAGACUACAAGUGUCCCAGAUGUGAGGCAGUCUUCUGGUUCGAGGAGAGAGUGAAGUCAGAGUCCGCUAUCACACGAAGGCGGAUGGUUUACAACAAAUGUUGCAAGGGUGGUAAGGUGUAUAUUACACCUUUUAAAAAGCCACCCUUGUUCCUCUCUGAAUUGCUGAGAUACAAUUGUCCUCCGCGUAGCAAAGAUUUUAUAAAAAAGAUAUGCCAGUACAACUGUCUCUUUGUGUUUACUUCUAUGGGGACUACUGUUGAUCGCUCAAUAAAUGAUGGUAAUGGCCCAAAUAUAUACAAAAUAAAUGAUCAGGUUUGCCAUCGAACGGGGUCUCUUAUGCCUAAGAAAGGAAACACCCCAAAGUAUGCUGAAUUGUAUAUAUAUGAUACCCAGAAUAAGAUAAAAAACAUGAUUCAGGCUUUGGACAAGGGUGAAAAGGGUAAUGGUGCUUUAGACAAGUCUAUUGUUGAAGGGUUGAUGCACAUGCUUGAUGCGCACAAUUCUUUUGUCAAAACAUUUCGAUCAGCUAGGGAAAUAUUAGAAGCCAAUAAACAUGCUGAAAUAGCCAUAUGUUUAAUUGCCCCUGGAGAAUCUGAUAGUCCACAGUUUAGUCUUCCUACCACCGAUGAGCUUGCAUCUUUGAUGUUUGGUGAGUUUACGGUAGAAACUUCUUGUCAUGACAUAAUAAUACAUGGUAGGGAUGACAAUCUGCAACAAAUAUCUUCUUUGCAAACUUCAUAUAUGCCUUUGCAGUAUCCUCUUCUCUUCCCCUAUGCCGAGCGUGGGUUUCAGCUUGGGAUUAGAUAUAUUGGUUCAGACCCCCUUGAUACAACCAAAAGAACUAGGCUUACCAUGCAGGAUUAUUAUUCCUAUUGUCUCCACUACAGACCAGAGCAACAUAAUCCAUACCUUUGUUGUGGUUUGCUCUCCCCACAGGCCAUUGUAGAUGCACGCGCUUGCAUAGAUGAGUGGAGAUUGCAUUUUAUCAUGAAGGCUAACAAUGAUCUUAGAGCAGAAAACUUGCAAGGGGUUACUGAUGCUGUUGGAAAAGGGCAGACAGAUGCAGGUUCUGUUGGCAAGAAAAACAUACUUCCAUCAUCUUUUACCGGUGGCCGCCGUUAUAUGGUUGAGAACUUCCAAGAUGCGAUAGCUAUUUCGCGUGUAUUUGGCCCACCAGACCUUUUCACCACCUUCACCUAUAAUCCCAAGUGGGGUGAAAUAGCUGAGGCCUUGUCAUCUGAGCCUGGGCAAAUGCCUUCGGAUCGAGCUGAUCUUCUAGUUAGGGUUUAUCACAUGAAGCUAAAUGACUAUCUUCAUGAUAUCAAGUCUGGGGAGGCAUUUGGCCCUGUUGUAGCUGUCCUGCAUACUGUAGAGUUUCAGAAAAGAGGGCUUCCUCAUGCUCAUAUCCUGAUCUUGCUUGAUAGGAAGAAGCGGGAGAUGGCGCAUCAAAUGCUUUCUGAGAUACACAACCACAGCAGGAAACGGGUUGUCUUUGUCCUUGUAUCUCACCUCUGGUUCUAGCGUGGAGGAACUGACAAUGGACCCAUCCAACACAUGGAUUUGGUUGUUCUUGAUAGCCAGGGCAAUCAUAUGUACGUGCAGAUACCGCCUCAGGCAGCAGAACGCCUGCAGCAUGAGCUAGAAGAAGGAAAGGUCUACAUGAUGACUAAGUUCAACUGCAUUAAGUCAAAGCCUACCUUUAGGGCUGUUGAGAGCCUAUACAUGAUCUAGUUCACCAGGUUCAGUGAUACAGUGCUUCGCCCAGGCUUGUAGGCAGACUACCCAUUUUGUACCUAUAAUCUGGUCUCAUUUGAAGACAUUCCCAGGCCAGGUGGUCGUCCUGUCCGUUUUCUUGAUGUCAUUGGAAGGAUAACUACUGUUUCUGAUGUGAUCCCUAUCCAAUCAUCACACCAGCCAGAACCAUCAAACACAAGGACGAAUCCUCACUGACUUACAAUGAGGGCCAGGAGCUAAGGCUGGUCCUCUGGGGUGACCGCGCAGUUGAAUUUGAAGCAGAGGCAGUGCACGCAAGGGACAAAAAGUAGGCUGUCAUUGCAAUUUUCGUGGGAACAUUGCCUAAGAUGAAUCAAGGUGUUAAAGGACUUAGCGGUAGUUCUGCCUGUCGCUGGUACAUCGAUGAGGAUUUGCCUGUUAUAAAUGACUUCCGCAACAGGCUUGGAACUAAUUUUACACCUAUUGAUGUCAAUGCUGCUAUUGAUGGAGGGUCGCUUCCUGCUCGUAUCUAUGAUGCUCCGGUCGAAAUGACUGUGUCAGAACUCCUUAAGCUCGACCCUUAUGAGAGCGGGCUAUGUUUAUUCUCUUCUCAUGCUUUCCAGAUGUUCCUUUUUACUUUUGUUGUUUAUGUACCCAAUACUGAAUGAUGUUGUUUACACAAGAAAAAAGGUUCAUCUGCACCGUUACAGUCCAAAGGCUUACUCCUGAUCAGUGCUAGUGGUUCUUCUCUUGCUCUUCCUACAGC